rnacentral:rRNA from 1 species
UACGUAGGGGGGCAAGCGUUUGUCCGGAAUCACUGGGCGUAAAGCGCGCGCAGGCGGUCUCUCACGUCCGGGGUGAAAGCCCAGAGCUCAACUCUGGGAUUGCCUUGGAUGACGGGGAGACUUGAGGAUCGGAGAGGCAAGGGGAAUUCCACGUGUAGCGGUGAAAUGCGUAGAGAUGUGGAGGAACACCUGUGGCGAAGGCGCCUUGCUGGCCGAUUUCUGACGCUGAGGCGCGAAAGCGUGGGGAGCGAACAGG